GCGGGCAUUGGGGGCGGUCCUACACAUGCAGUCGAGCGAGACCUUCGGGUCUAGCGGCGGACGGGUGAGUAACGCGUGGGAACGUGCCCUUCUCUACGGAAUAGCCUCUGGAAACGGAGAGUAAUACCGUAUACGCCCUUUGGGGGAAAGAUUUAUCGGAGAAGGAUCGGCCCGCGUUAGAUUAGGUAGUUGGUGGGGUAAUGGCCUACCAAGCCUACGAUCUAUAGCUGGUUUUAGAGGAUGAUCAGCAACACUGGGACUGAGACACGGCCCAGACUCCUACGGGAGGCAGCAGUGGGGAAUCUUAGACAAUGGGGGCAACCCUGAUCUAGCCAUGCCGCGUGAGUGAUGAAGGCCUUAGGGUCGUAAAGCUCUUUCGCCUGUGAUGAUAAUGACAGUAGCAGGUAAAGAAACCCCGGCUAACUCCGUGCCAGCAGCCGCGGUAAUACGGAGGGGGUUAGCGUUGUUCGGAAUUACUGGGCGUAAAGCGCGCGUAGGCGGAUUGGAAAGUUGGGGGUGAAAUCCCGGGGCUCAACCUCGGAACUGCCUCCAAAACUCCCAGUCUAGAGUUCGAGAGAGGUGAGUGGAAUUCCGAGUGUAGAGGUGAAAUUCGUAGAUAUUCGGAGGAACACCAGUGGCGAAGGCGGCUCACUGGCUCGAUACUGACGCUGAGGUGCGAAAGUGUGGGGAGCAAACAGGAUUAGAUACCCUGGUAGUCCACACCGUAAACGAUGAAUGCCAGUCGUCGGGUAGCAUGCUGCUCGGUGACACACCUAACGGAUUAAGCAUUCCGCCUGGGGAGUACGGUCGCAAGAUUAAAACUCAAAGGAAUUUGACGGGGGGCCCGCACAAGCGGUGGAGCAUGUGGUUUAAUUCGAGGCAACGCGCAGAAACUUUACCAACCCUUGACAUCCUGUGCUACAUCCAGAGAUGGAUGGUUCCCUUCGGGGACGCAGUGACAGGUGCUGCAUGGCUGUCGUCAGCUCGUGUUCGUGAGAUGUUCGGGUUAAGUCCGGGCAACGAGCGCCA
rnacentral:rRNA from 1 species